AGAAGGCUAUGUUAGCCGGGCGACGGUUGUCCCGGUUUAAGCAUGUAGGCUGGUUGUCCAGGCAAAUCCGGAUAAUCAAGGCUGAGGUGUGAUGACGAGGCACUACGGUGCUGAAGUAACAAAUGCCCUGCUUCCAGGAAAAGCCUCUAAGCAUCAGGUAACAUCAAAUCGUACCCCAAACCGACACAGGUGGUCAGGUAGAGAAUACCAAGGCGCUUGAGAGAACUCGGGUGAAGGAACUAGGCAAAAUGGUGCCGUAACUUCGGGAGAAGGCACGCUGGUGUGUAGGUGAAGUCCCUGCGGAUGGAGCUGAGACCAGUCGAAGAUACCAGCUGGCUGCAACUGUUUAUUAAAAACAC
rnacentral:rRNA from 1 species